CCCCGCCCGCCCAGGCCAGCACCGAUUUCCCACGGGCUGACCUCCUCCUCCUGGUCUCUCACCACUGUCCCCCAGAGGCCUUCUGGAGGGGGCCUGCCACCCACCCGGCCACCAUCCAGCCCUCAGCCUCCCACCAACUGGCCUCACCCACCUGCUGGCAGUGACUCUUCCCAGAGGCCACCUGGGUCUCCUCCUCUCGGGUGUCCUCUUCCCUCCGCCUGAAGCCCAGUGCCUGGGGGCAGGAGGGGCCCCUGGUUCCUUGCUGGAUCCUUGCUGGCGGGAGGGGCGGAUGCAGCUCAGGGAAGGCCCAGGGCUGUGACUCAGCAGGGGCACGAGGGAAGGGCAGGCUGAAGGCAGCUAGCUCCCACUUAGAACUUUCUGGAGAUGUCCAGCUGCUGGGAAGAAAUCUGGAGCAACAAAUCCGACCCGACGGGCGGGAUUAGAGGGGACUGCCCUUCAGACUGCAGGCCUCUGGGAGCCGCCAGGGCCCGACUGCCCAUAGCAUUUGCUCUUGGUCUUCAUUGGUUUUGUAAGGACAGAGCCACACACGUUUGGGGUGCCCCUAGGAACAAAGACGAGAAUACAGUGCCAAGUCCCCGCUCUCCAGGCCCUCUGCCCAGCCCACCCUGACUCCACGCGUCCCCUCACAGUCCUGUCCUGAGCUGAACCUGGGCAGGUGUGUGUCACGGAGGCCCCAGAAGCAGAGGCUGGGGAGUGGCAGCAGAGGCCUGGUGGGGGGCCGACCAGCUCUGUCGGCUCACACGGGGCUGGGGCUCCCAGUGUGGCCUGGGGAUGCCCCAUGGUUGACCCCGACUCCACCCACCUCCUCCCUGGCUCCUGUGGCCUCUGCCAAGCAGGGCCCAUGUCCCCAGCCAGGGUGGGAUGCAGGCCGUGCCUGACCUCCCUGCGUCCACCCCAGGAUUCCAGCUGAGCGGGGACUUUGGGUGCAGAUGGUGAGGAGGAGGGGGAGGAGCCGCGCCAUUGAGGACAGAGGGUGGGAGUCGCAGUGCAGGGCCUGCAGACCUCCCCUCCCCAGUUUUGACGUGUUCUCUCGCAGAGUCCCCUUGUCCUCAGAGCUCUGGCUCGCUGGCUUCCGGAUGCCUGCUUGGAGGGAGCUCCUGGUGGGCGGCAGCCACCUGCCCCAGCCCUAAGCAACUCUAUCCGUCUACUUCCUUUACUUCUGACUCUGUGAAUUUGAUUAUUCUGGACAUUUCACACAAAUGGAAUCCUACCAGAGGCUUUGUGACCGGCUUCUCUCACUGGGCAAAGAGUCUCCAAGACUCAUCGGCACGGGAGCAGCUAUCAGUACUAAGUUCCUGUUCAUGGAUACAUAAUAUUCCACCUGUGGCCCGCCACACUGAGUGUAUCCCUUGGGUGGUUUCUGCUAUGGGGAUGUUAAGCACAGUGCAGCUCAGGACAGUGAAGUCCAGGUUGGGGAUGGAUGUGUUUUUAUUUCUCGGGCGUGUGUUCUUAGGAGCAGAAUUUCUGGGUCGUGUGCCAGUUCUGUGUCUAAUCACUUAAAGCUCCGGACAGACGGUUUUCAGUUCUCUAUCCCUGCCAGCAGUGGGUGAGGGCUCCUGUCUCUGUGUCAUCCCCAGCGAGUGGGACUGACUGGUCCCAGCCAUCCUGGUGGGUGUGAAGUGGCAUCUUGUUCCUGUUUGCUUUGAUUCUGCACUGUUAGUUUUAUUCAGUUAUUUGUACCAGGGAUUGAACCCAGGGGUGCUUAACCACUGAGCCACACCCCUAGCCUUUUUAGUAUUUUAUUUAGAGACAGGGUCUUGCUGAGCUACUUAGGUCCUCGCUAAAUUGCUGAGGCUGGCUUUGGACUUGCAAUCCUCCUGCCUCAGCCUCCUGAGCUGCUGGGAUUACAGAUCUGCACCACCGCAUCCGGCGAGUGUCACCUAUUAAACCCAGUUUAAGUUAAUAAAAAUCAGCCCCAUGCCAGGCUUGGGGAGAAAUCUCAGAGCCACACAGAGGAGUGGGAAGGGGACAGAGCCCCAUCCCCCCAAAAUAGCUGCCCCAAGUGGAUCAACAGAAAAUCAUCGUCACACUGAACUCUCAGAGCUCUGGAGGUGACCAGUGUGGACUCUGCAGUGAUCCAGGGCAGGGGCUGUUUCACGGCUCAAGAAACCAGGGAAAGCAAAGGAAAAGCAGGCGGUGGGGGCACCUAAGAAAAGUCGGGGGAGCCAAACACAGUGGCUCAUGGCAAGAUGCCGGGGCCGGCCCUCCCCGGAGCUGGGUCCCUGCGGCAAAGGCAGGGCCACAUCUAGGCUGGGUGGCCGGGACCUAGAGCUGCUCUGGGGGAUGCCAGGCCCUUCUGGAGCUGCUGUAGCCAUCUCUGGGUCUGGACAGAUUUCGCAAGUCCAGCUGAGGUUAGAGCCAGAGAGCAGGGGACGGAUGCCAUGGGGGUGGCGCUGGUCCAGGGAGACCCCGAUAUCUCUAGAAGUGUGUCAGGGGGGGGAGAUGGGGAGGAUGCUGGUAUCCAGGACUGAUAAAGAGGGGACUUUCUCGGGACAGGGCAGGCUGGGCACAGCAGCAGGAACAUAAGAGGGCUCGGGUCCAUGCUUCUCCCUCCGUCAGGCCCUAGGUGCCCAGUUUGCUUUGUGUCCCAGGGGGCACCAUGAUGAGGAAACAGAGGGUCAGAGAAGGCAAGUGGCUUGCCAAGGUCACACAGCUGUGACCGCAGCAGAGGGACAUGGCUCAGAAAGGGAGCGUCAGAGCCUGAGGACAUGGAGAGACACUCAGACAAGGAGUCCCCGAGGCUCUCUGAAGGGAAGAAACCGAGGCUCAGACAGAGUGGGAACAAGGCACCCCCUCCCUGGCUGUUCCUCCUUCCUUCUGUUGCCUGGAACUUGGACACGAUGGUUGGAGCUCCCGUGGCCAUCUGGGUCCAUGAGAUGACUUUGAGGAAGGAAACGAUGUUUUAAGAUUGUACUUGGGAAGAUAAGAGCCUGCGUUCCUGAUGCCACACCGCUCUCACCCAAGCCCUGGGCUGUGCACCUCAGAAUUCUUUCACAUGACAAACAGAUUAAAAUCAUUACUCUGGA